ensembl:lncRNA
CUACUUCUCUGUAGUGACCAGCAGGGGGCGACUCCUCUGCUCCCAUAGACGUCUAUGAGGAAAUGACUCUACUUCUCUGUAGUGACCAGCAGGGGGCGACUCCUCUGCUCCCAUAGACGUCUAUGAGGAAAUGACUCUACUUCUCUCUUGAUUUAUUCCCUCAGUAAACAUUGUAAACAUGAGUUUAUGGUCUCAGUCUCUAGUUUAAGUCUUCUUCAACACAACAUGAUGUUCAUUUAGUGACUGAUGGUCCAUGUAGAGUCAAACAGACCAUAAAGCAGAGGACGCUUUAGGACAGGUCUCUAGCAGAGACGUAUACGCCGUCUCUACGUCAUUCUCACUUCACAAGACAUCCACAAACCGAUGGAACCAGAGAGCUUAGAUGUGAUAAUAAAAGUCUUGUGUGUCAUUUUCAGCGUAGCAUAGCAUGUGGCGCUGCCACAGCAGAGCCACAUGCUUCUGAAGGUGAACGUGAAGCACGAAGACAUGAAUCCUCAUCAGCUUACUGCUGUCAGCAGAUGCAUGAUGGGAAAUCCCCCAUCUCAGCCCUUCCUGGACCUCUUCCGAGGAGCUCUACAGGGGUCUGUAAUUGGUUACCAGUAUCAGGAGGAGGAGCACGUCCUCGCUGCCUGUGAAGGCUGAAUGUUUACAGACCUCCAUCAGGGAGCGCUGCCAUCCUCCAUCAGCCCCUUAAUGUGGAGGGAAUCUCCCCAAGCACUGCAGACACGCUUUAAUUCUGACUCAUGGACGUUGUCUUGUCUGUGAAGACGACAGUGGCGCAGUGGUAGAGAGGGAGUGCCGGGAACCGCAAGGUUGGCGGUUCAAGCCCCAGCUGCUCCACGUCCAGUGUCCAAGUGUCCCUGAGCAAGACACCUACUUUCUCCCCGGGGGUUAAAAAUGUAAUGUAAGUCGCUUUGGAUAAAAGCGUCAGCUAAAUGACCUGUAAUCAUUAAAACAUGUGUCACGCUUAGGAGGGUACCUGAGCAGGUAGUACACAGCGUACCUGAGCAGGUAGUACACAGCGUACCUGAGCAGGUAGUACAGAGCGUACCUGAGCAGGUAGUACACAGCGUACCUAAUCCUUGAGUGGACCAUCUGCUCAUUGGUCCUGAGAGCAUCCUCCUCGUGUCAGUAGCAGGUUAAACGAUGACUCAGACAGGUGUGUGUUUGUACCUCAGUGUUCCUCAGUAUGCAAAUAUGUGAGCGUGUGAAUGAUUCAGAGAUGUCAAGUGAGCUCAUGAAUAUUAAGCAGGACGCUUGUUGAGCUGUGAAUAUUGCAUGGAGAGUGAAAGUGAGCAGAGACAGGAGCUGGUUGGCUGUGAGAGGACAUUAGAUAACCCAUGGACGUACUUUGAGAAAAACAUUGAUUGAUAGAAAUCAGUAUAAUUAGAAAUCUGCGUCUGUGAAGAAGAAGCUUCUGUAGAGCUGAAUAGAUGCUGCAAAGAAAACAGACGUCUGUGAUGGAACAUUAAGUCCACACACACACACACAUAGUGAGCCACAGAGCUGCAGGUGGUUGAGUCUGUUUGGGUUUAAAGUAUCUGUCUGCUGAGGCUCAUUAGACAUGUGACUCUAUCAGGAUGAAGACAGUAAGUGUGUGUGUUUUUCUGUGUUCUUCCGUCUGACUGGAGAAUGUGCUGCGUGUUUCUGUCCAACCGUCGUUUUUGUGUGUCAGGAAUCAGGAAUCAGGAAACAUUUAUUGCCAAAAUAUGUCAAACAUACAAGGAAUUUGUCUUGGCGGUUGGUGCGUGACAGUAGACAGUGUAACAAUAGACAACAAGACAGCAGUGCACAAGUAAUAAAAUGAAGUAAAAUGAAGUGAAAUGAAGUAUAUAAAACAAGUAUAAAACAAGAAUAAAGUUAAAGUUAAAAAUUUAAAAUAUUAAAAAAGUUAAAAAAUAUUAAGCAUAAAGUGCACUAGCGAACAAGUAGCAAAGUGACGAGUGACGACAAAGUGAGAAAUGACAGUUAAAGUGACAUGUGCAGUGUGAAGGGGAGUGACCGGUGGAGUGUUAGAGUCAGUCAGUGGGGGACCGGCUCUGUUGAUGAGCCCGACUGCUGACGGGAAGAAACUGUUGGUGUGGCGGGAGGUCUUAGUCCUGAUGGACCUCAGCCUCCUGCCAGAUGGAAGGGGCACAGACAGGUUUUGUCCGGGGUGAGAGGGGUCGGCUACCAUCUUUUUAGCUGCUUCAGAGACCUGGAAGUGAACAAGUCCUGCAGGGACGGCAGAUUGGAGCCGAUCACCCUCUCUGCAGAGCGGAGGACACGCUGCAGCCUGCCCUUGUCCUUGGCUGUGGCUGCAGCGUACCAGACGCUGAUGGAGGAGCAGAGGAUGGACUCCAUGAUGGCCGUGUAGAAGUGGACCAUCAUCGUCUUUGGCAGGUUGAAUUUGUUCAGCUGCCUCAGGAAGAACAACCUCUGCUGAGCCUUCUUGGUGAUGGAGCUGAUGUUCAGCUCCCACUUGAGGUCCUGGGUGAUGAUGGAGCCCAGGAAACGGAAGGAAUCCACAAUAGUGAUGGGGGAGUCACACAGGGUGAUGGGGGAGGGUGGGGCUCUGCUCCUCCUGAAGUCCACAACCAUCUCCAGCGUUGAGCUCCAGGUUGUUCUGACUGCACCAGGACACCAGAUGGUCAGACUCCACCUGUAGGCGGACUCGUCCCCACCAGAGAUCAGUCCAAUGAGGGUGGUGUCAUCCGCAAACUUCAGGAGCUUGACGGACUGGUGACUGGAGGUGCAGCUGUUGGUGUACAGGGAGAAGAGCAGAGGGGAAAGAACGCAGCCUUGGGGGGAACCGGUGCUGAUGGUCCGAGAGCCUCAGACAUGUUUCCCCAGAUUCUCUCUAGAACGAUUCGGUCUCGAUUCAGAAAAGUUAAUAAUCGGAAUUUUAAAAAAAAGUCUGUCUCGCGCGAGAUAUUUGCUCCCUCGCGGAGCGUGAACUUUCUCGCUCGCGAGGUGAAUCUCUGCUCGCGCUCGAAGGUGUUUUCUACGCGCUCGCUGUUGUUCGUUUUGACAGUAAGGGGGCGGAGCCAGUCACCAUGGUCUCUACACCUGAAGCCCAUUUCCGCACUAAAGAAAGGGGAUAGAAAGUUGAGAUUAUGAGAUAAAACGUUGUGAAAAAACAAACGCCCCCCUUCGGUAACCGUAGUGGAGAUGACAACCAGCUACAAGCAUCAUUUACCAUCAUUACCGGCACAUUAAGAGCAAUGCGUCCAGCUCGCAGACCGGUCCGUCAGUCUGAAUCUGAAUAUCUAAUAACUUUACUGAACUAUGGAGGAGCCUGCGCAUAUCUUACCUCAUUAUUUCCAUUUUACAAAAAGUCGAUCCGCAUUGAAAGUUGGCAAGAUAUUCACAGAUUUGGA